rnacentral:tRNA from 1 species
GUCGACGUAGCUCAAUUGGUAGAGCAGUGGUCUCCAAAGCCACCGGUUGCAGGUUCGAGUCCUGCCGUCUUCGCUA